ACCUGGAUUGGCAUGGAAUUCCAAGAACUGUGACUCCAAGACAAUGGAACAAGCACGUCUCUGCUCGUCACCAAGCUCGCCUUCCUCCUCGGCGAUCAAGAACGCUCGAGGACGUUAUACGUGACUUCCUCCUGUCUCCGCUUCCCGACACUUUCUUCGGCACUAAGAACGUGAUCCGUUAGGCCCGAGCCAGUGUUACUGAAGGCCUAGCCUGGCCCGUCAAGGCCCAAGCUCGGACGUUUGACAGCGCUGUCCCUUUUCUCUCCGAUCCCACUCCGCCGGCCGCCUCGGAGCGUACCACCGUUGCCUCCUCAUCUUCCUCCUAUUUAUACCUCCUUCACUGCCAGCCGGUCUGGGUGGGAGUGGUCCGAAUCGCCCAAACUCGCUGCUAUAAGUCGAAAGCAGACCUCCUUCCCUCCCUCCUCCUGCUUUGAUCUUCAGAAGAUCACUAUAUCUCCAGAUCUGAGGCGGUUUGGAGUCGAUACCGGUCCGAAAGCAUUGUAAUCCAAGCAUUUAAAGGCUGUUAAGCUGACACAUAUUCGGAAGCUUUGGUGGACUUCAAGGACGCAAGUGUUUGAUCUUCAUUAAAGAAGUAUUGAUAGUAUCCAAUAUAAAUUAAAGAAAACUUUUCCAGCGUCAAGGAGGAACAGCAUAAUUCUCAAAUGUUAUUAGCAAUCAGGAUGGAGAAGUUUCAGAGAGUUCCAAUUCUCUUGAAUGAAAAAUUCAGAAUACAUUUCUCAAACAGAGUUGUUUAAACAAGUACAUGAUAUAUCGCUAACAUUGGACUUCAUGGAUGCAUUAUAUAAGAAAUGGAGAAGAAGAUGCCUUUCAAGGAUUUCAGUCUAUCUGAUGUGUUUACUUGCCCCUAUUCUGUGCUUGCUUUGUUUAAUUAAUUCAGAACUCCCUGAGGUGUCACUCAGCAACAGUGUCAUGGGAUCACCCAGGAACUUGACAUUCACUAAGACAGUGGAGGGAGUAGGACUUGGGGAACUUGGGGACAUGAUGGUCGCAAUGUUGCCCGAUGAUCUUGCAUUUACCAUAUUUGUUCCGUCAGAGGAGGCCUUCGGGCGUUUGCUAAAACUGAGAUCCCAUGACAGCUUGAGCAAGGAUAGACUAAAUGAGACGUAUGCGGUCGUCUCUCGUGUAAUGGGGUUUUCUGCAGUUCCUCAACAUAUACCAUCUAAAGUAAUUCCUUUGCACAAGGAGAUGACAUUUGAAUCUGUAUCAGGAUUCAGAUUAUAUGCUUGGAAAGAUUUAGAUGGAACGCUGGUUGUGAACGGCAUUAGAUCAGAAGUUGUUGAUAUCAGAAAAGCUGAAAUCAUUGUGCAUAAAAUGGAUGGUGUGCUCAUGGAUGCUGAGUUUGAGCAGUCAUUCCCACCGGAUUAUGAGGACUGACAUUUCGUCGAAAUAUGUCCAAAUACCAUCUAGUACUUGAUAUGAUUAGUGUUUUUUCUGCUAUUUAAUGAUAGUCCAUUCAUUAUCAGCUCCUUGUAUUGGUAAAGAUUAUGUGAAUUAUCAGUCUGUCUUCUCCAAAGGGGAAGACACGAACCGACCUAAUUCACUCCAUGUUAAAGUCCUCUGCUAAGGACACCAAGUAUGCAGGACACCGCCUGGAGCUCAUGCCGGACCACCAGGUGCAGCAGAAGAUGGCACUCACCCUCUUCGAGUAUACUUUUCGACCAAGGAGCCACGACGACGACUCCCAUCCAUGCUCGUCUCCUACAGCCGCUGUCGCUUGAGAUUGUUCUUCCAUCAGCAUACCAUCGUAGUACACACUACAUCCAUCUUUGUAUAUUCCUCCACAAUCCUACGCUGGUAAUUGUCCGUUCUUCUAUUUGUUUGGUCGCAUUUUGUUGGAUAUCGAGCAGAAGUCUCUUCUUCCUUGGGAUCAUGUACCGAGAGAAAUGAUACUAUAUACUUCAGUUGUCAGCUUCAUCUUCCA